ensembl:misc_RNA Y_RNA Y RNA
GGUUGGUCCUAGUACAGUGGUGUUUACAACUAAUUGAUCACAACCAGUUAUAGAUUCCUUUGUUCCUUUCUCUACUACCACUGCUUCACUUGACCAGCCUUUU